rnacentral:pre_miRNA from 1 species
AGAGGGAUAGCUGGGUCAAAUGGUGAUUCCAUUUCCAGUUUUCCAAGGAAUCUCCAUACUGCUUUCUAAAUUGGCUGCACCAAUUUUCAGUCCCACCAGCAGU